AUGGCGGUCCUGGGGUGUUUGGGCGCACAGUGGAAAUUAUCGAAAUUGCAGCCGGAACACGAGGUUGCGGCGGUAUGGUGGUUAAGUCGUGCAGUGGAGGGGGACAGAUCAAGGAUUCAUGGUGCCAGUUUGGUGCAGCCAUCAUGGUACAGACUGUGCAGUAGGAUGAUGCAUGUCUGGUGUAAUGGAGGUAGCAGACGUGGAUAUCAAAGGGAUAGUUCUCAGAUGAUCGGCCCUUACAUAGCUACUGCAUAUCUUUGA